CUUGAUCGAGCCCAGCCAGAGCGGGCGCUCCUCGGUGUGCUCGCUGCCGUACGUCGCGAUCAGGGCCUGGGCCUC
rnacentral:antisense_RNA from 1 species